GAUGAAGAACGUAGCGAAAUACGAUACUUGGUGUGAAUUGCAGAAUCCCGUGAACCAUCGAGUCUUUGAACGCAAGUUGCGCCCGAAGCCAUUAGGCCGAGGGCACGCCUGCCUGGGCGUCACACGUCGUUGCCCCCCCAUCUACUCCUUCGGGAUUGCGGGGGGCGGAUGAUGGCCUCCCGUGCGCCUCGUCGCGCGGUUGGCAUAAAUGCCAAGUCCUCGGCGACGCACGCCACGACAAUCGGUGGUUGCGAAACCUCGGUUGCCCGUCGUGUGCGGUCGUCGCGCAUCGAGGGCUCGAAAAAAUUGUCGGGCUCCGGCUCGGCUUUCAACGCGACCCCAGGUCAGGCGGGGUUACCCGCUGAAUUUAAGCAUAUCAAUAAGCGGAGGA
rnacentral:misc_RNA from 1 species